CCUACGGGUGGCAGCAGUGAGGAAUAUUGGUCAAUGGCCGGGAGGCUGAACCAGCCAAGUCGCGUGAGGGAAGACGGCCCUACGGGUUGUAAACCUCUUUUGUCAGGGAGCAAGCUGCAGGGCGGGACCGGCUGUGAGAGUCUCUGAAGAAAAAGCAUCGGCUAACUCCGUGCCAGCAGCCGCGGUAAUACGGAGGAUUCGAGCGUUAUCCGGAUUUAGUGGGUUUAAAGGGUGCGUAGGCGGAGUGAUAAGUUAGAGGUGAAAUGUCCGGGCUUAACUCGGGAACUGCCUCUAAUACUGUUGAUCUAGAGAGUAGAUGCGGUAGGCGGAAUGUAUGGUGUAGCGGUGAAAUGCUUAGAGAUCAUACAGAACACCGAUUGCGAAGGCAGCUUACCAAUCUAUAUCUGACGUUGAGGCACGAAAGCGUGGGGAGCAAACAGGAUUAGAUACCCCAGUAGUC
rnacentral:rRNA from 1 species